UACGAAGGGGGCUAGCGUUGCUCGGAAUCACUGGGCGUAAAGGGUGCGUAGGCGGGUCUUUAAGUCAGGGGUGAAAUCCUGGAGCUCAACUCCAGAACUGCCUUUGAUACUGAAGAUCUUGAGUCCGGGAGAGGUGAGUGGAACUGCGAGUGUAGAGGUGAAAUUCGUAGAUAUUCGCAAGAACACCAGUGGCGAAGGCGGCUCACUGGCCCGGUACUGACGCUGAGGCACGAAAGCGUGGGGAGCAUACAGG
rnacentral:rRNA from 1 species